AAGAAGAAACACGUGUUUACUCUUGUAUGAUUCUGCUGCUGCGACACAGUGGACACAGUCAGGAUAAACCUCCUGUUGAAGAAUGUUAAAGUGUUGAGCUCCAUGAUGGACACACGGUGGAGGAGGGACUGGGCCCAGUGGAACCAGUGGAACCACGAGACAGGAAGGACUGUGGAGAAAGCUAAUGAUGGGCAGCUGAUGAUUCUCACCCUGGAGAUGACGUGGCCCUCUUUCUUCACCAGACCGGGACCUCCAGUGUGCGCUCGGUGGUUUGAGGCCGAGUAAGAAGUGGUCAGGAUGAGAAACAGCACAGAUUCUGAGGCCAUGGAUUUCUGCUGAAAACUGUGGAUGCUCCCAGGUUGGGUGUUAGUUGAUGCCCCAAG